UUGACCUCGGAUCAGGUAGGAAUACCCGCUUCUUAAGCAUAUCAAUAAGCGGAGGAAA
rnacentral:rRNA from 1 species